rnacentral:rRNA from 1 species
CUUUUGCUGGCGACCGGCACACGGGUGAGUAACACGUAUCCAACCUGCCUUUACUCGGGGAUAGCCUUUCGAAAGAAAGAUUAAUACCCGAUAGCAUAAUGAUUCCGCAUGGUUUCAUUAUUAAAGGAUUCCGGUAAAGGAUGGGGAUGCGUUCCAUUAGGUUGUUGGUGAGGUAACGGCUCACCAAGCCUUCGAUGGAUAGGGGUUCUGAGAGGAAGGUCCCCCACAUUGGAACUGAGACACGGUCCAA